rnacentral:rRNA from 1 species
GAUGGACGCUAGCGGCAGGCCUAAUACAUGCAAGUCGAACGAUAUUAUCCAGCUUGCUGGAUAUGAAAGUGGCGCACGGGUGCGUAACGCGUAUGCAACCUACCUUAUUCGGGGGGAUAGCCCGAAGAAAUUCGGAUUAACACCGCAUAAAAUCACAGUUCAGCAUUGGACAAUGAUCAAAUAUUUAUAGGAAUAAGAUGGGCAUGCGUGUCAUUAGCUAGUUGGCGGGGUAACGGCCCACCAAGGCGACGAUGACUAGGGGAUCUGAGAGGAUGGCCCCCCACACGGGUACUGAGACACGGACCAGACUCCUACGGGAGGCAGCAGUAAGGAAUAUUGGUCAAUGGAGGGAACUCUGAACCAGCCAUGCCGCGUGCAGGAAGACGGCCCUCUGGGUUGUAAACUGCUUUUAUUCGGGAAUAAACCUAUUUACGUGUAAAUAGCUGAAUGUACCGAAGGAAUAAGGAUCGGCUAACUCCGUGCCAGCCGCCGCCGUAA